rnacentral:rRNA from 1 species
UACCAGCUCUCCGAGUGGUAGGGAUGUUUAUUGGGCUUAAAGCGUCCGUAGCCGGCUUAGCAAGUCUCCUGUUAAAUUCAGCGACCUAAUCGUUGAGCCGCGGGAGAUACUACUAGGCUAGGAGGCGGGAGAGGUCAACGGUACUUCCGGGGUAGGGGUGAAAUCCUAUAAUCUCGGGAGGACCACCAGUGGCGAAGGCUGUUGACUAGAACGCGCUCGACGGUGAGGGACGAAAGCUGGGGGAGCGAACCGGAUUAGAUACCCGGGUAGUCCCAGCUGUAAACGAUGCGAGCUAGGUGUUGGGGUGGCUACGUGCCACUUCAGUGCCGCAGGGAAGCCAUUAAGCUCGCCGCCUGGGGAGUACGGCCGCAAGGCUGAAACUUAAAGGAAUUGGCGGGGAGCACCACAAGGCGUGAAGCUUGCGGUUC